rnacentral:lncRNA from 1 species
GUAUUCCUGUUCUCGGUUUAAGAAGAACACAUGGUUGCACUAGUCUAUUGUACGACCUUAGGUACUUAUGGAGCUUGCACUGGAGGAGCGGGACGUUGUGGGCAGUGGAUUAUGAACGCUAUGAUUAAACAUUUCGAAUAAUUGAACUUAUGGUUUACUUGGGUUAUUUACUUAUGCUUCCGCUACUGAUACUAUGUUUGUUUUGAAACAUCAAUUGUAUUGAAUGAGGUUUUACGAACUACUUUAUUUAUGUUAUGCUAUGUUCAAUAUGAUUGGUGGCUUGAUCCUGGUCAGUCACGCUCCCAAGCGGUGAUACUC